CCUACGGGUGGCAGCAGUGGGGAAUAUUGCACAAUGGGGGGAACCCUGAUGCAGCGACGCCGCGUGGGUGAAGGAGUACUUCGGUAUGUAAAGCUCUAUCAGCAGGGAAGAAAAUGACGGUACCUGACUAAGAAGCCCCGGCUAACUACGUGCCAGCAGCCGCGGUAAUACGUAGGGGGCAAGCGUUAUCCGGAUUUACUGGGUGUAAAGGGAGCGUAGACGGCAGUGCAAGUCCGGAGUGAAAGCCCGGGGCUCAACCCUGGGACUGCUCUUGAAACUGCAAAGCUGGAGUGCGGGAGAGGCAAGCGGAAUUCCUGGUGUAGCGGUGAAAUGCGUAGAUAUCAGGAGGAACACCGGCGGCGAAGGCGGCCUACUGGACCGUAACUGACGUUGAGGCUCGAAAGCGUGGGGAGCAAACAGGAUUAGAUACCCGUGUAGUC
rnacentral:rRNA from 1 species